rnacentral:snRNA from 1 species
GCCAAGGCUUUGCAAACGCGUUCAGGCCUAGGCGAAUUCUGCCGGCACGGCAGAAUUCGCCUAGGCCUGAACGCGUUUGCAAAUAGCGCCUAGGCCUGAACGCGUUUGCAAAUAGCGCGCCGCUCUGCGGUAUUGCCGCAGAGCGGCG